rnacentral:tRNA from 1 species
GCCGAAAUGGCGGAACUGGCAGACGCGCUAGGUUCAGGUCCUAGUCCGGUUAACACUGGGUGGAGGUUCAAGUCCUCUUUUCGGCA